rnacentral:rRNA from 1 species
GAUGAACGCUGGCGGCGUGCCUAAUACAUGCAAGUCGAGCGAACGGACGAGAAGAUUGCUUCUCUGCUGUUAGCGGCGGACGGGUGAGUAACACGUGGAUAACCUACUUAUAAGACUGGGAUAACAUCGGGAAACCGGUGCUAAUACUGGAUAAUAUUUUGAACCGCAUGGUUCAAAAGUGAAAGACGGUCUUGCUGUCACUUAUAGAUGGAUCCGCGCUGCAUUAGCUAGUUGGUAAGGUAACGGCCUACCAAGGCAACGAUGCAUAGCCGACCUGAGAGGAUGAUCGGCCACACUGGAACUGAGACACGGUCCAGACUCCUACGGGAGGCAGCAGUAGGGAAUCUUCGACAAUGGGCGAAAGCCUGACGCAGCAACACCGCGUGAGUGAUGAAGGUCUUCGGAUCGUAAAGCUCUGUUAUUGGGAAAGAACAGAUGUGUAAUUAUCUCUGGACGUCUUGACGGUACCUAAAGAAAAAGCAACGGCUAACUUCGUG